rnacentral:rRNA from 1 species
GUGCCAGCAGCCGCGGUAAUACGUAGGGCGCAAGCGUUGUCCGGAAUUAUUGGGCGUAAAGAGCUCGUAGGCGGUCUGUUACGUCCGCUGUGAAAACCCAGGGCUUAACCCUGGGCUUGCAGUGGAUACGGGUAGACUAGAGGCAGGUAGGGGAGAAUGGAAUUCCCGGUGUAGCGGUGAAAUGCGCAGAUAUCGGGAGGAACACCGGUGGCGAAGGCGGUUCUCUGGGCCUGACCUGACGCUGAGGAGCGAAAGCGUGGGGAGCGAACAGGAUUAGAUACCCUGGUAGUCC